rnacentral:ncRNA from 1 species
AGUUACUUGGAUAACUGUGGUAAUUCUAGAGCUAAUACAUGCCGACAGAGUUCCGACCGUCGCGGCGCCCUCGGGCGUCGCUCGCGGGAGGAACGCUUUUAUUAGAUCAAAACCGGCCCGUCGCGGCGCGCUUCGUGCGCGUCCCGAUCGCGGCCCGCGCAAAGACCUGGUGACUCUGAAUAACUUCGAGCUGAUCGCACGGUCUCCGUACCGGCGACGCAUCUUUCAAAUGUCUGCCUUAUCAACUGUCGAUGGUAGGUUCCAUGCCUACCAUGGUGGUAACGGGUAACGGGGAAUCAGGGUUCGAUUCCGGAGAGGGAGCCUGAGAAACGGCUACCACAUCCAAGGAAGGCAGCAGGCGCGCAAAUUACCCACUCCCGGAACGGGGAGGUAGUGACGAAAAAUAACGAUACGGGACUCAUCCGAGGCCCCGUAAUCGGAAUGAGAACACUUUAAACCUUUAAACGAGGAUCAAUUGGAGGGCAAGUCUGGUGCCAGCAGCCGCGGUAAUUCCAGCUCCAAUAGCGUAUAUUAAAGUUGUUGCGGUUAAAAAGCUCGUAGUCGGAUCUGUGUCUGGACGGUGCCGGACCACCCUGGCGGUCCGUCGUGUCGCGGCCGGCCGUGUCGCGGGACCACGUGUCCCGUCGGCGCGGUCGCCGUCGCGCUCGUCAGCCGUCUCGGGGUGUUAGUUACCGGCACGUCGGCCGGACGUAUUGUCGGCAGGCGGACACGUGUCUCGUGCUUCCGGCGCGCCGCGCGGCCACGCGUCGCGCGGCCGUCGGUGUUCGACGACGGCGGCCGCCUACUCCAAUCUUGCUGCGCGGUGCUCUUCACCGAGUGCCGUCGGCGGGCCGACACGUUUACUUUGAACAAAUUAGAGUGCUCAAAGCAGGCUCGAAUCUGGCGGGGCGGCUUCACGGCCGUCUCGUCAAAAGGCCCUGAAUACUGGUCGCAUGGAAUAAUGGAACAAGACCUCGGUCCCGCGCAUCUCCGCCCUUCGCGGGCGCGCGAAAUCGCCCUCCGGGGCGUUUCCGUGCGCGGGCCGCCGGGCCGCGGGCGCCAGUCGCCCGCGCGUCCCGCCGGGCCGGUUUUCGGGACCGGAGGUAAUGAUCAACAGAGACGGGCGGGGGCAUUCGUACCGAGACGUUAGAGGUGAAAUUCUUGGAUCGUCUCGAGACGAACUGACGCGAAAGCAUUUGCCAAGUACGUUCUCGUAUGAUCAAGAACGAAAGUUAGAGGUUCGAAGGCGAUCAGAUACCGCCCUAGUUCUAACUGUAAACGAUGCCCAGCUAGCGAUCCGCCGGCGUUUCAUUAACGACCCGGCGGGCAGCUUCCGGGAAACCGGAAGCUUUUCGGUUCCGGGGGAAGUAUGAUUGCAAAGUUGAAACUUAAAGGAAUUGACGGAAGGCACC